rnacentral:rRNA from 1 species
AGAGUUUGAUCAUGGCUCAGAUUGAACGCUGGCGGCAGGCCUAACACAUGCAAGUCGAACGGUAACAGGAAGCAGCUUGCUGCUUCGCUGACGAGUGGCGGACGGGUGAGUAAUGUCUGGGAAACUGCCUGAUGGAGGGGGAUAACUACUGGAAACGGUGGCUAAUACCGCAUAACGUCGCAAGACCAAAGAGGGGGACCUUCGGGCCUCUUGCCAUCAGAUGUGCCCAGAUGGGAUUAGCUAGUUGGUGAGGUAACGGCUCACCAAGGCGACGAUCCCUAGCUGGUCUGAGAGGAUGACCAGCCACACUGGAACUGAGACACGGUCCAGACUCCUACGGGAGGCAGCAGUGGGGAAUAUUGCACAAUGGGCGCAAGCCUGAUGCAGCCAUGCCGCGUGUAUGAAGAAGGCCUUCGGGUUGUAAAGUACUUUCAGCGGGGAGGAAGGUGUUGUGGUUAAUAACCGCAGCAAUUGACGUUACCCGCAGAAGAAGCACCGGCUAACUCCGUGCCAGCAGCCGCGGUAAUACGGAGGGUGCAAGCGUUAAUCGGAAUUACUGGGCGUAAAGCGCACGCAGGCGGUCUGUCAAGUCGGAUGUGAAAUCCCCGGGCUCAACCUGGGAACUGCAUUCGAAACUGGCAGGCUUGAGUCUUGUAGAGGGGGGUAGAAUUCCAGGUGUAGCGGUGAAAUGCGUAGAGAUCUGGAGGAAUACCGGUGGCGAAGGCGGCCCCCUGGACAAAGACUGACGCUCAGGUGCGAAAGCGUGGGGAGCAAACAGGAUUAGAUACCCUGGUAGUCCACGCCGUAAACGAUGUCUACUUGGAGGUUGUGCCCUUGAGGCGUGGCUUCCGGAGCUAACGCGUUAAGUAGACCGCCUGGGGAGUACGGCCGCAAGGUUAAAACUCAAAUGAAUUGACGGGGGCCCGCACAAGCGGUGGAGCAUGUGGUUUAAUUCGAUGCAACGCGAAGAACCUUACCUGGUCUUGACAUCCACAGAACUUUCCAGAGAUGGAUUGGUGCCUUCGGGAACUGUGAGACAGGUGCUGCAUGGCUGUCGUCAGCUCGUGUUGUGAAAUGUUGGGUUAAGUCCCGCAACGAGCGCAACCCUUAUCCUUUGUUGCCAGCGGUUAGGCCGGGAACUCAAAGGAGACUGCCAGUGAUAAACUGGAGGAAGGUGGGGAUGACGUCAAGUCAUCAUGGCCCUUACGACCAGGGCUACACACGUGCUACAAUGGCGCAUACAAAGAGAAGCGACCUCGCGAGAGCAAGCGGACCUCAUAAAGUGCGUCGUAGUCCGGAUUGGAGUCUGCAACUCGACUCCAUGAAGUCGGAAUCGCUAGUAAUCGUGGAUCAGAAUGACACGGUGAAUACGUUCCCGGGCCUUGUACACACCGCCCGUCACACCAUGGGAGUGGGUUGCAAAAGAAGUAGGUAGCUUAACCUUCGGGAGGGCGCUUACCACUUUGUGAUUCAUGACUGGGGUGAAGUCGUAACAAGGUAACCGUAGGGGAACCUGCGGUUGGAUCACCU